rnacentral:rRNA from 1 species
GACGGGAUAACCGCUGAACGCAUCUAAGCGGGAAACCCUCCUCAAAACCAGGUCUCGCCGAGAGCCGUGGAAGACCACCACGUCGAUAGGCCGGAGGUGGAAGCGGGGCAACCCGCGCAGCUGACCGGUACUAAUCGCUCGACCGGCGCUUGAAA